GCGACUGUGACUCAGUGGGAAGAGCGGUGGUCUAGCAAUCCCAAAGUUGUGGGUUCGAUUCCAGCUUCCUACAGCCACA